GCCAGAUAUAAUUUGAGGCCGGGAGGUGUGUAUGUAGUGUAUAUAUAUAUAUAUGUGUGUGUGUGUUGUGACUAAAAGAAGGCCAGCUGAAUCCAGUUUUAAGUUAAGAAAGGAGAAAGGAUAGAACGAGCUCAGUUCCCACUCUGAAUCUCUGGCACUGAGGGCUAAAUUUAAGCACUGGCUAACGUCUGUCCGAGCGGCGACGUCACAGUGGCGCUGCCGAUGUAUAAAACUCAACAGGACUCCAUAGAUACAGCGUGCAACGUAUUUAGAACAAGAAUGGGAUUUAUUGACCAAUAAGAUUCGCUGAUGAGGAAUUUGGCACAAUGGCAGCUGCUGACACUGAGACAGGCCCGACUGCAAGCGAGAGUGAAGAGUUGUGGAACACAUUAACCCCGUAACGUCUCGACGUAUCAUUCAGUUACUCGUCUCAAAGCAAACGACUCAGGAUUUCGGCCACGACUGGAAGACGUCUGGGUAUUUGUGUUCUUCGGUACCGGCAGAGUGUUCAAUUCGAGCAAAGACGAUGUCCAGAUUGUUAACGCUAACUAGCUACGUAACAAAAACGAAAACAGUAAUGGAAGGAGUCUCCAGUAUCAGAACUUUGUAACAAGCAGUGAGUUUGUGAUUUCUCGAUAACACGACACGCAACAUGACUACCUUCAAAAGAGAGGAAAUGAGAGGCUGGCGAGGGAAGGAUUGUUUACAGCUGCGAUAACUUUCAGAAAGUUUGCAUCACACAGACUUCAGAAGAAGGCAUAAGCAAAGCACGUUGAACAUCCAGGAUAAGUGGAACAAACUGGACAUCAGCAGACCCGACUGCCUCGUUCCAGAUAGAUGGAUGAUCAUGUUUCUGUGUUCUGGAAUGUUCUUCUUGGUCGAGUUCCACUCAGCAGGUGAAAGCGGUUAUAACUUGAUUUAAGCUGAAGCUGCCUCGUGUACAUGACGGAAAGUCCUGUAUGUCCACCACACCCAAACACAUCGCUGUUUUUUCUAGGAUG
ensembl:lncRNA